AGGUGACUUAUGAUCCAAAAGUUAAAUCAAAAACUGUGACAGUAGAAGGUGAUAUCUUCGACCCAUCUGGAACAUUAACUGGAGGCUCCAAGGAGAAAAGAAAACCCAUACUUUCCAAGUUUGAUGAAUUAAUUCAAGCACAAAAUGAGAUCAAGAACAUAGAGAAUAAACUGCAGAAAUUAAAGCAAGAGAUUGAAAACUGCAAAAAUGUGGCAGUAAAAUACCAACAACUCAAAGAGCAGUAUGACCUGAAGGUCCAUGAGGCUGAGCUUGCUCAAGAAAGACUGAAGCAGACUUCCCAUCACCAACAGCUAGAAGAAGU